CCUACGGGAGGCUGCAGUGGGGAAUAUUGGACAAUGGGCGAAAGCCUGAUCCAGCCAUGCCGCGUGUGUGAAGAAGGCCUUCGGGUUGUAAAGCACUUUCAGUGGGGAAGAAAGCCUUGGGGCUAAUACCCUCGAGGAAGGACAUCACCCACAGAAGAAGCACCGGCUAACUCCGUGCCAGCAGCCGCGGUAAUACGGAGGGUGCGAGCGUUAAUCGGAAUUACUGGGCGUAAAGCGCGCGUAGGCGGUCUGAUAAGCCGGUUGUGAAAGCCCCGGGCUCAACCUGGGAACGGCAUCCGGAACUGUCAGGCUAGAGUGCAGGAGAGGAAGGUCGAAUUCCCGGUGUAGCGGUGAAAUGCGUAGAGAUCGGGAGGAAUACCAGUGGCGAAGGCGGCCUUCUGGACUGAAACUGACGCUGAGGUGCGAAAGCGUGGGUAGCAAACAGGAUUAGAUACCCCGGUAGUC
rnacentral:rRNA from 1 species